GGGCGGGGCGGACCCUACCGUGGGGACAGAGAGGAGGAGUACAUUGGAUCACGGUACUUGAAUCAGCAACAUUUACGAGCACCUGCCAGUGGGUCGUUCAGUAGCCGCGCCACAUCCUCGGACCGAUACUACCCAUCUCACCGGAUUGAACCCCCCGUAGAUUACAGAGAGAGGGACCUGGAGGAUAGAAGAUCUACAGAAAAUGAAGAAGAUAAUGUAUCCUUUGCGAACUCUAUGGAAAAAAGAAAAUCCUUGCGGAAGCUCCUCAGUCGCUUUGCAGACAAGACGGCAAUGCAAGGUGUGGGCUACAUAAGCUCUGCCAAAUACUGGUAUUCACGGGCAAUUUGGGUAUUCCUUCUCUUAGUGGCCAUGGGAUGGAUGGUCUUCCAUCUUUAUUAUCUUAUAUCGCAAUUUACGGACCUUCCUGUUCAGACUAAAAUAUCCCUUGGGUUUAACAACCUACAAUUUCCGGCCGUGACGCUGUGCAGUAUGAAUGUUGUCAAAUUCUCGGAGCUCCAAACCACCUCCGUUGAGUUUCAAUCCCUCGUUGCUCUAACUCAACCUAGUCGGUUCAAACCCGAGGACCACAUUCCUGGAGGGAGAAAGAAAAGGUUUGUCUCCGAGUUUGAUGACCUUGGGAACCUGACAGACUACGGGGAUUACUACGACGAUCCUUCGUUCCGAGACGAGGCCUUCAAGGACGCGAAGAAAGACAACUUGUACGAGGUAGAGAAUACCUUCAAAAACCUCUACCUAGCCAUGCCGAGGGGAGUCAGAGUGAAAGCUGGUCAUCAAAUACAGGACAUGCUGCUGUCGUGUUCCUUCAAUGGUUUCAAAUGUUUCCCAGUAAACUUUACAUUGGUGAACACCCCCGAAUAUGGAAACUGCUUUACCAUAGAAUCUGGGAACUUUAUAACAAAAAACCCAGGGCCAAAAACGGGCCUGACAUUGAUAUUUUACACUCAGAAUGAUGAGUUCCUGGAAGGGAUCAGUCAGGGAUAUGGAAUGCGUUUACAGAUACAUGAACCGGGAACUUUCCCGAUGCCAGACCAAGAGGGAAUUUUCCUUUCAUCUUCAUUUGAAACACAUAUCGGUCUGCGAUUGACGGACAUCACACGUAUAACUCCACCUCACAGAGAAUGUAAUGAUGGAAUUGAGUUCAAAAAGGUCAAUAAAAUGCAGUACUCCAGAUCGGUGUGCCGGAUAUUCUGUGAGCAGGAACAGUCCCUCAGUCAGUGUGGUUGCUACAAUCACGACUACAAGGAAUUCUUCUUCUUCAGCAACAACACGAACAAAAACAGAUGGUGCAAAACUCAACAAGAAAUACGUUGCCUUGCAAAUAUUAUGAAGGAAUUUGGUAUGCAACAGAGAACGUGUAGCUGUUUAAAUCCUUGCAAGGAGAAAAAAUACUCUUUAUUUCCCAGUAGCAGGCAAUGGCCCACCGAAGCAUAUAGCACCAUUUUGAUGCAGAGUCUAUGUGAACAGUUUCCUGCCAAAUGUCAGCGUGUUGUCAACAUGAAGACAGACCCACGCUCUCUAGCUCUAAAUUUUGUGAAAGUGACCGUUUACUACGAAGAUCUGAACUACGAGGAAUUCGUUGAGGAACCAGAAAUAGCGACUGCACAGUUUGCCUCGGACGUGGGUGGAGCCGUCGGUUUGUGGAUCGGUCUGUCCGUACUGGCUAUCUUUGAAGUCGUCCAGUUUUUUAUUGAGCUUUGUGCGUACGGCGUACAUGUGUGGCGAUACAAACAAAGGAAAUCCAAGCAGAUCAAAAAACGAAAACAAAGACAAAAUGGCUAUGCCAUAAGAGAAGAAAAGGAUUUUGCAAAUGAAAAAAGAUACCAAGAGAGUUGGAAUUCCUACCGGCAUUAUUAAGCAACAUGCAGAGAAAAUGUACAUGUGUUCGAUUUUUUGUGUGUGCCGUUUUUCUUUAAGAAAAAA
rnacentral:misc_RNA from 1 species